AGUGGAAAAAAAAUUAAAGUCUAGCACUACUUAUGUCAGGAACGAAAGUUGUGAACCUAAAUUGACGGAGGCACUAAAGUCAUAGGACCAAAAGUGGAAAAAACUCUUUUAUUGUUCCAUCACACAAU